UGAAUAAAAUUCUUGGUGCUGCCUUCAUCCCCUGGAGAGUCGAAGCAUACAGAAUAAAUUUUAAUUUGUUAACGUUGUUUGGUGUCCGUUCCU